CCACACUUGUAUAUUUUUGUGUUUUCACUUUGGUACUGACACAGUGCGUUGUGUGGAUAAGUUUAAGAGGAAGGAGUACCAGCUCCUGACAUGGCGUCCAUUCUGAAGGCAACCUCUACUGUGAAGGCACAGCCCCUGAAGCCCAAGUCCAGUGGUGCAAAGGAGGUCCGAGGUAGGGUUGAACGACUCUCCAGGGACAGGACUUCUCGGGCUUCUGAAGAGGGGGUUCCCCAAACGCAAAAGAAGGCCAAAGAGCCUCGGAGGAAGGAAAAGAUCACUGAGGAGCCGAAGAAGAGGAAACUCGUGCACCUCUCCAGCUCUUCUAGAAAACUUAGGAGUUCUGUGUCCCCAAGUAAAGAAGCCAGACCUCUAAAGCUACUAGAAGCCACCUCGAAAGCAAUCAAGAUUGAAAUGGUCAGGCGUGUUGAGGUUGAGGAGGCGAGAGACGAGGCUGCGAGGAGGCAAGCCGAGGUAGCUGAGGAAGAGGCUGCCAAAGAGAGGUCUGUUAGCGUACAAGGCAAGUCUCCGAGCUUCCUUACCGGCAGGGAGGAGCCUCUGGCCCCCAGCUUUGGUGGAGGCCCUGCCACCUGAGAUCCAAAGCUCCACAGAAAGUUUUUUUAGAUAUUGGACGGAUCGGUGGUAGCUGCACGCCUCCUCCUGUGAUGCUACGGAUUUAACCAGGGCUCUUGUGAGCUAAAGUGUUAGGACCUUUGGGCUCACACUGGAGUGUAGGGAGGCUCUUACAGACUAUCAGAUGAAGACCCUGUCCUCUGAGAAGAAGGCCGCCUCCCUUACAGAGGAGCUGAAGGCAACUGAGGCCGAAGCCGAAGAUGCCAGAGCCCAAAAACUUGAAGAAUCGGCCAAGCUGGAGUCUACCUUGGCUCAGAUAGAAGCAUUGAAGAGGGAGGUGCAUGAGUUCCAGUGCGAGGUGGCCUCCUUAACGAAGAAUGUGGAGGUUUCCAAUGACCACCAAAGGGUGAUAGUUGAAGCCUUGGAGAAGGCUAAUCUGGAGCUGGCAGGGGCCCAAGAUGCAUACAAGUACCUCGAGGGCCAAGUUAAGUGUUAUGUUGAUGAUGCAACCUAUGCUAGGGAGGAAGCCCGAAAUGCAAGGGAGGGGGCAGUGAAGGACUAUAUUGCUAAUUUUCACAACACUGCGGAGUACCAGAGCUUCGGUACCUAUUGGAGGAACUUUGCUUACGUCGAGGUGAUGGAGAGGGCUGAGGAGUUGUACCCAAAUCAGGACCUGCCGCAAUUCAGGUCGGAGUUUGUAGACGAGGUGCUUCAAACCCCAGUUGAUGAGGCGGUGGGAGUUGAAGCAGCAAAGGCAGGAGAAGCAAUUUCUGACGCCCAAGUUGCUGAUGUCCCAACUGCUGAAGCACCUCCAUCACCUUCCCAGGCUUAGGAUAGUUUUCUUUUCAGUCAUUGACAAUGUACUGGCCUCAGG
rnacentral:lncRNA from 1 species